rnacentral:rRNA from 1 species
GUCUAGAAAAUUGGGCAAUGGGCGCAAGCCUGACCCAGCGACACCGCGUGGAGGAUGAAGGUCUUCGGGUUGUAAACUCCUGUCAGGCGGAGCGAUGCUUCACGCUCUAACUAAGCGUGAGGUGACGGUACUGCCAAAGGAAGCCCCGGCUAACUACGUGCCAGCAGCCGCGGUAAUACGUAGGGGGCAAGCGUUGUCCGGAAUUACUGGGCGUAAAGGGUGUGUAGGCGGUCGCGUAAGUCAGUGGUGAAAGCUCCGGGCUCAACUCGGAAACUGCCGCUGAUACUACCUGACUUGAGGGCAGGAGAGGAGAUCGGAACUUUCGGUGUAGCGGUAGAAUGCGUAGAUAUCGAAAGGAACGCCAAUAGCGAAGGCAGAUCUCUGGAAUGUUCCUGACGCUGAAACACGAAAGCUGGGGGAGCAAACAGGAUUAGAUACCCGUGUAGUCC